ACAUCCAGAGAAUUUAGCAGAGAUGCUUUAGUGCCUUCGGGAACUCUGAGACAGGUGCUGCAUGGCUGUCGUCAGCUCGUGUUGUGAAAUUGUUGGGUUAAGUCCCGNAACGAGCGCAACCCUUAUCCUUUGUUGCCAGCACGUAAUGGUGGGAAACUCAAAGGAGACUGCCGGUGAUAAACCGGAGGAAGGUGGGGAUGACGUCAAGUCAUCAUGGCCCUUACGAGUAGGGCUACACACGUGCUACAAUGGCGCAUACAAAGAGAAGCGACCUCGCGAGAGCAAGCGGACCUCAUAAAGUGCGUCGUAGUCCGGAUUGGAGUCUGCAACUCGACUCCAUGAAGUCGGAAUCGCUAGUAAUCGUAAAUCAGAAUGUUACGGUGAAUACGUUCCCGGGCCUUGUACACACCGCCCGUCACACCAUGGGAGUGGGUUGCAAAAGAAGUAGAUAGCUUAACCUUCGGGAGGGCGUUUACCACUUUGUGAUUCAUGACUGGGGUGAAGUCGUAACAAGGUAGGCGUAGUGCU
rnacentral:rRNA from 1 species